CCCGCGGCAAGACGGAAAGACCCCGUGAACCUUUACUAUAGCUUGACACUGAACAUUGAGCCUUGAUGUGUAGGAUAGGUGGGAGGCUUUGAAGUGUGGACGCCAGUCUGCAUGGAGCCGACCUUGAAAUACCACCCUUUAAUGUUUGAUGUUCUAACGUGGACCCGUGAUCCGGGUUGCGGACAGUGUCUGGUGGGUAGUUUGACUGGGGCGGUCUCCUCCUAAAGAGUAACGGAGGAGCACGAAGGUUGGCUAAUCCUGGUCGGACAUCAGGAGGUUAGUGCAAUGGCAUAAGCCAGCUUGACUGCGAGCGUGACGGCGCGAGCAGGUGCGAAAGCAGGUCAUAGUGAUCCGGUGGUUCUGAAUGGAAGGGCCAUCGCUCAACGGAUAAAAGGUACUCCGGGGAUAACAGGCUGAUACCGCCCAAGAGUUCAUAUCGACGGCGGUGUUUGGCACCUCGAUGUCGGCUCAUCACAUCCUGGGGCUGAAGUAGGUCCCAAGGGUAUGGCUGUUCGCCAUUUAAAGUGGUACGCGAGCUGGGUUUAGAACGUCGUGAGACAGUUCGGUCCCUAUCUGCCGUGGGCGCUGGAGAACUGAGGGGGGCUGCUCCUAGUACGAGAGGACCGGAGUGGACGCAUCACUGGUGUUCGGGUUGUCAUGCCAAUGGCACUGCCCGGUAGCUAAAUGCGGAAGAGAUAAGUGCUGAAAGCAUCUAAGCACGAAACUUGCCCCGAGAUGAGUUCUCCCUGAGACUU
rnacentral:rRNA from 1 species